UGAAGGGAGAGUCUAUCAGGAACCAGGCACAGGGACAGGAGCACACACCAUGAUUUCACACAUCCAGCUGAUCUGGCCCCUGGCAUUCUGUGUCGCAGGUAUCAGUGGGGACAUCAUCAUGACCCAGUCUCCCCCGGUGCUGUCAGUGGGACUGGGCCAGACUGCAACCAUCACCUGUAAAUCCAGUCAGAUUGCCAGUAGUCAUGUUGAAUGGUUCCAGCAGCAAGAAGGACAGAAACCCUCUCUCCUGAUCUACGAUGCAGCAACACGAUUCACAGGAGUCUCCAACAGAUUCACCGGGACAGAAGUGUCCAGCACACACUUCACCCUGACAAUCAGCAACGUUCAGAAUGAGGAUGUAGCUGAUUAUUACUGUCAGCAAAGUUACAGCUCCCCUUACGUUCGGUAAAGGAACCAAGCUCAG